UACGGAGGGAGCUAGCGUUGUUCGGAAUUACUGGGCGUAAAGCGUGCGUAGGCGGUUAUUCAAGUCAGAGGUGAAAGCCUGGAGCUCAACUCCAGAACUGCCUUUGAAACUAGGUAACUAGAAUUGUGGAGAGGUAAGUGGAAUUCCGAGUGUAGAGGUGAAAUUCGUAGAGAUCAGGAAGAACAUCGGUGGCGAAAGCGACUAACUGGACGUGUAUUGACGCUGAGGUACGAAAGCGUGGGGAGCAAACAGG
rnacentral:rRNA from 1 species